ACACAGAUGAAGAAUUUCAACAGCACUUUAAGAAUUUGAUAUAUACUCUGUUUAAAUCAGAAAUAUCUCAAGUCCAAGUAAUCGAUCAUGAGGAUGGCAAAGAAAUGACAUGUGAACGCUUACAUAAAGGAUUUAAGGUAUAUACGGAAGCUAUUAAUAGUGGAAAAGGUUUUAACAUUACCUCGAUGGCUGAGGCUAAUGCUGUUGCACAUGAAUUUAGAAUGUACAGAGAAGUGAUCAGUGAAUUUGAUGUAAAGAUGCA